GUCGGGGUGGGGGGGUCCGUGUUCGCGAUCUGAACCUUUGGUACCUACAAGGAGGGUGUCUCACCGAACGGUAGCUAAGACCUCACCAGGACCGCGCGGAAGCGAGGAGUCGCGGCCAAAGGCGCCCGCCGGAGCCUCGUCUCUGGGCCGGACCCCAACCCGAGCGGCCGAAAGGAACCCCCCGCCCGGACCACAGAAAAGAAGAUGCUGGCUGGCUAGUAAUAUUGCGUUGGAACACCCUGGAGUAUGCAGAUCGUCCUGGUACAGUCUCUAGCGGCAGACUACCCAGCCCUCACCUUAUCCUCAUCUGUUCAACACAAAAAGUGAAGCCAUGGUCUGUAUUCUUCAAAAAUGUCAAGAUCAUCUAUGACAAAUAAUGACUGAGGAAAUAUUCCAGAUUAAAGGAGAUUAAAAAGACAUCAUGUCUAAAGG